rnacentral:lncRNA from 1 species
GGAAUUCUAGUGAGUCAGACAAGUCUGUGAGAGUCGGGAGGAGGGUUGGAGGCUACAUUUGCUUCCCGGGCAUGGGGCGCAGUUGCUACCCUGGCCCUCAGCUCCUGUGCAGGAGCGCGUGGGCCUGGCCCAAGCCUCCCGCGUUGACACCCUUCUUCCACCUGGUCUAAACUCCUCCUCCUAGCCACCCAGGAGCGGCCACCCCUGAGGGACUGACUUCCGGGGAUAUCAGGUCAGUGGCACUGGGCACACUCACAUUGGUGUGCAGCCAUCAGCUCCAGAGCUUUCGUCUUCCCGGACUGAAACUCUGACCCCAUGAAACCCUAACUCCCUACUGGCCUUCUCCCAGGCCCUGGAAACCCCGGGCCACUUCCACUCUCUGGCUGGAAUAUUCCACCAUAUGUAGACGCUCCAUUUUUAUAAGGUCCAUCCAUCCAUCCAUCAUUGGGCAUCUGAGUUGUUUAUGACUUUGGCUGUUUUGAAUAAUACUGCUAUCAUUACAAGUCUCCAAACAUCUAUUCAA